GAUGAACGCUGGCGGCGUGCCUAAUACAUGCAAGUCGAGCGAACAGACGAGGAGCUUGCUCCUCUGACGUUAGCGGCGGACGGGUGAGUAACACGUGGAUAACCUACCUAUAAAACUGGGAUAACUUCGGGAAACCGGAGCUAAUACCGGAUAAUAUAUUGAACCGCAUGGUUCAAUAGUGAAAGACGGUUUUGCUGUCACUUAUAGAUGGAUCCGCGCCGCAUUAGCUAGUUGGUAAGGUAACGGCUUACCAAGGCAACGAUGCGUAGCCGACCUGAGAGGGUGAUCGGCCACACUGGAACUGAGACACGGUCCAGACUCCUACGGGAGGCAGCAGUAGGGUAUCUUCCGCAAUGGGCGAAAGCCUGACGGAGCAACGCCGCGUGAGUGAUGAAGGUCUUCGGAUCGUAAAACUCUGUUAUUAGGGAAGAACAAAUGUGUAAGUAACUAUGCACGUCUUGACGGUACCUAAUCAGAAAGCCACGGCUAACUACGUG
rnacentral:rRNA from 1 species